rnacentral:rRNA from 1 species
CCCUUAGACACUCUAGGCGGCACGCGCGCUACAAUGGGUGGAAGACCGUGUUACUGCCUUCGAAAGAAGGGGUGAAUCACGAAUUCUUACCCGUGAAUGGGAUAGUUUGUUGCAAUUUUCGGACUUGAACUGGGAAUCCCUUGUAAGCAUGCUCAAGAAUAGCGUGUUGAAUACGUCCCUGCCGUUUGUACACACCGCCCGUCGUUUCUUCCGACUGAUACUCAUUGUGAGUUGCAAGGACGCUUCACUGUGAAAUUGCUGCGAAUGCUUUGUAUUGGAGGAAGAAAAAGUCGUAACA